UACGUAGGGACCAAGCGUUGUUCGGAUUUACUGGGCGUAAAGGGCGCGUAGGCGGCAUGACAAGUCACUUGUGAAAUCUCCGGGCUUAACCCGGAACUGCCAAGUGAUACUGUCGCGCUAGAGUGCGGAAGGGGCAAUCGGAAUUCUCGGUGUAGCGGUGAAAUGCGUAGAUAUCGAGAGGAACACCUGAGGUGAAGACGGGUUGCUGGGCCGACACUGACGCUGAGUGCGCGAAAGCCAGGGAGCAAACGGG
rnacentral:rRNA from 1 species